AAAAUUCUCCACAGAUAAUUUUCUUGGGCGACAAAGAGAAUGACAAGAACUUCAAUGAUUUGGUAAACAAAACAGAAAAUUUCAGAUGGCACAAACCGAGUGUCGGGUAUUUGCUGGAUUUUUCACGUGGCCAAUCCGACAAUCACUCGAAUAUACUUACACGUGUGGCUACAAAUUUGUUGACUUUUGACUGACCCCAUAUGAAGGUAUCCCGCACGUGCGGUGCAUCAAAGCUUUGUUCCCUUGCUGGGCUUACGUUGUGGCUCAAGUAGGUGAUAACUUGGCCCAGUAGUACUGUAGAAGUAAAACGACAUUGUAUGAUGUGUUCUGCGUUUUACUUCUUU
rnacentral:lncRNA from 1 species